rnacentral:lncRNA from 1 species
UUCCGUAGUUCUUAUUUUAUUUUUAUUUUGCCUUUGAUACUUAUAAUCGGACUUUGGCCCAAUUUUGUAAGUCUAAUUUCAACUAAAUGAAAUUAAAAACUUUUCAAACUUUUUUUUGCAUGCGGUUCAAAGUGUAUGUCUCACCGAGCCAUCCCCGAGAGUAUAAGUUGUAGCCCCAACAUACCUCGUUAGGACAUUUGGUAGGAUUCAGCGUAGUUGAUCAAGGUAGUCAGUAGCAC